UUGACUGGAACAAUCCCAGGCGAGCUCUCGAAGCUCUCGCAUCUCCAGCUGCUGGUUCUCACGGGGAAUCGUUUUAGUGGCGCCAUACCUCCAGAGCUUGGAAACUGGUCGAACAUCAGAGAGAUAUGGCUCGACAGCAAUAACUUGACUGGAACAAUCCCAGGCGAGCUCUCGAAGCUCUCGCAUCUCCAGAAGCUGGUUCUCACGGGGAAUCGUUUUAGUGGCGCCAUACCUCCGGAGCUUGGAAACUGGUCGAACAUCAGAGAGAUAUGGCUCGACAGCAAUAACUUGACUGGAACAAUCCCAGGCGAGCUCUCGAAGCUCUCGCAUCUCCAGAUGCUGGUUCUCACGGGGAAUCGGUUUAGUGGCACCAUACCUCCGGAGCUUGGAAACUGGUCGAACAUCAGAGAGAUAUGGCUCGGCAGCAAUAACUUGACUGGAACAAUCCCAGGCGAGCUCUCGAAGCUCUCGCAUCUCC
rnacentral:lncRNA from 1 species